rnacentral:lncRNA from 10 species
GGACUCAGAAAGGCAAAACAGCUUGCUCAAGGGCUCACAACUAUUUAGGUGGUAGAGCUAAGAUAUGAACCUACCUCUGACACCAAAGUGCACUUCAACACCCUACUAUCACCCAACAAAGAAUUCUGGCCACAGAAUCACCUUGCUGCGGUAUUCCUGACUGAAUCAAGAUACGCUGGGGAAGAGGCAUCUGAAGAUAGCCCGGGUUCUGACCUCGGCCCUGCUGCCUAACUGCCUGGUGACUUCAGGUAUUCUAAUCACAGAAUUACUGGAGCAUCAAGAAGUGCCUGCAUGCUUGGAAGGGCUUCCAGGCAGAUGAACACACCUCAGCACCGGGUGGCAUUUUCCCAGGGUGCAACCCGGACCGGCUCUGGGUCACACUGACAAGGACAACAGGGUUAACAAUUUCCAGAGACAGCCCGUACAUAGAAGGAAUGUUUACUGAAAAAAAUGAAGAGGGGUCAGGGCAAGGCGAGGAGCAAGAAGCACCCCCAAGGAAACAGAGAAGACCAGUACAACUGUACCUCUUUGCCAGCUGCACCAUCCGUACCAGUCUCCUGGGGUGGAAGUGUCCAGCACAGAGACUGCCACACUGCAAGACGAAGGGGCUGGACACACGGAAGAGAGAGGCGGAACCCUGCACCCCCUCAACCUCAGCCCUACUGAGUCUCCAAUGGGGCCACGCUUCUGAGUGCACCUCCCCGUGUCAUCUGUAAUGUGAGGGGGAACCAGGCUUGAUAUGGCAUUCCCAAUCCAGGGC